rnacentral:rRNA from 1 species
GAUGAACGCUGGCGGCGUGCCUAAUACAUGCAAGUCGAGCGAACAGACGAGGAGCUUGUUCCUCUGACGUUAGCGGCGGACGGGUGAGUAACACGUGGAUAACCUACCUAUAAGACUGGGAUAACUUCGGGAAACCGGAGCUAAUACCGGAUAACAUGUUGAACCGCAUGGUUCAACAGUGAAAGACGGUCUUGCUGUCACUUAUAGAUGGAUCCGCGCCGCAUUAGCUAGUUGGUAAGGUAACGGCUUACCAAGGCAACGAUGCGUAGCCGACCUGAGAGGGUGAUCGGCCACACUGGAACUGAGACACGGUCCAGACUCCUACGGGAGGCAGCAGUGGGGAAUCUUCCGCAAUGGGCGAAAUCCUGACGGAGCAACGCCGCGUGAGUGAAGAAGGUCUUCGGAUCGUAAAACUCUGUUAUUAGGGAAGAACAAAUGUGUAAGUAACUAUGCACGUCUUGACGGUACCUAAUCAGAAAGCCACGGCUAACUACGUG